rnacentral:rRNA from 1 species
UACGUAGGGUGCAAGCGUUGUCCGGAAUUAUUGGGCGUAAAGAGCUCGUAGGCGGCCACUUAAGUCCUGCGUGAAAUCUUGCGGCUCAACCGCAAGCGGUCGUGGGAAACUGGGUGGCUAGAGUGCGGGAGAGGAGAGUGGAAUUCCUGGUGUAGCGGUGGAAUGCGCAGAUAUCAGGAAGAACACCCGUGGCGAAGGCGGCUCUCUGGAACGCAACUGACGCUGAGACGCGAAAGCGUGGGGAGCAAACAGG